rnacentral:rRNA from 1 species
CCUACGGGAGGCAGCAGUGAGGAAUAUUGGUCAAUGGGCGCGAGCCUGAACCAGCCAAGUAGCGUGAAGGAUGACGGCCCUACGGGUUGUAAACUUCUUUUAUAAAGGAAUAAAGGGAGGAAAGUGAGCCUUUUUGUAUGUACGGUAUGAAUAAGGAUCGGCUAACACCGUGCCAGCAGCCGCGGUAAGACGGAGGAUCCGAGCGUUAUCCGGAUUUCUUGGGUUGACAGGGAGCGUAGAUGGGUUGUUAAGUCAGUUGUGAAAGGUUGCGGCUAAACCGUAAAAUUGCAAUUGAUACUGGCAGUCUUUAGUACAGUUGCGGUAGGCGGAACUCGUUGUGUAGCGG